UACGGAGGGGGCUAGCGUUGUUCGGCCUUACUGGGCGUAAAGCGCGCGUAGGCGGGCCUGCAAGUCGGGGGUGAAAGCCCGAGGCUCAACCUCGGAACUGCCUUCGAUACUGCGGGUCUCGAGUCCGGGAGAGGUGAGUGGAAUUCCUAGUGUAGAGGUGAAAUUCGUAGAUAUUAGGAAGAACACCAGUGGCGAAGGCGGCUCACUGGCCCGGUACUGACGCUGAGGCGCGAAAGCGUGGGGAGCAAACAGG
rnacentral:rRNA from 1 species